rnacentral:lncRNA from 1 species
UCUUUUUAGGGCCGCACCCUAAGCAUAUGGAUGUUUCCAGGCUAGGGGUCCAAUCAGAGCUGCAGCCACCAGCCUAUGCCACAGCUCACGGCAACACCGAAUCUUUAACCCACGGAGCAAGGGCAGGGAUCGAACCCGCAUCCUCAUGGGCAUCAGGAGACCAAGAGUUUCCUAAAUUCCCAGAGAGUGGGUACACGCCAUUAAAAACAAUGAAAGGAGCUCUCUGUAAAAGAACACCCCAGACCAAUCAAGAGGACAGACCUGAGGAUCUACAGCUUCCCCCCUUUUUUGGCCACGCCCACAGCAUGGGGAAGUUCCCUGGCCAGGGACUGAGCCUGCGCUAUAGCAGCGACCCCGAGCCCCUGCAGUGACAGUGCUGGAUUCUUAACCCGUGGAACUACAACUCCCAUUUAUGUGACUCUCAGCCAGAGGAUGUGCAGUUUUAAAAAUACGAAAUAGGACGCAAAGCAUGGAUGCAGCUCCCAGGGGUACCCAGAAUGAUUCCUCAGAGAGCCCUCCUCCCCCUGUCUUCCCCGAGGGGAAGAGGAGUCUCACCUGUCUGCCCAAAACAUCUGACACAGAGCACUGGCCCUCCAGCAGCUGGGCAGACUGGCCUUAACAUUGAAAUGAGAGCAUGUGAGGAAAGGCAAAAUCCAGGGUAAGGACAUUUGGAGGACGAGCUGCCCCUCCUCCCAAGCUGACACCUGCUGCUGCCGAGGAUGCAGGAAGGAGCCUAGCGCCUUGACAAGAAAGAAGCUAAGCCACUAAUCCCCCAAGGCCCCCGCUGCCGUGGAUGCGGGCUGCAGACGCCCCGCCACAUCCCUGCUGGGGACAGACACCCACCAGCAGGUCGGUUAACUGUAGCUGCCUAGAUGCCAGCUGCAGAGCAUCCAAGAUGGCAAGACACUAGAAGGACCUGACCCACCACAGUGGGGGGGAGGCCAGAUGUCGAAAACUCACCCAUCGCCCUUGAGAAGCUGCCAAGAAACCACUUCCCCGGAACAGGAGGUGCGUGUAUGAAACGCCUGGGCUGCCCUGCACCCAUCUGGAGCAUCUUCCAGGGAACAGGAAAACCUGGCUUCUAGCUCAACCGUGCCACCACUUCGCUGUGCCAGGAGCAACCUUCACAACUUCCCCAAGUUGUGAAAAAGCCAGGCUGGAUGGAGUUCCCGUCGUGGCGCAGUGGUUAACGAAUCCGACUAGGAACCAUGAGGUUGCGGAUUCCAUCCCUGGCCUUGCUCAGUGGGUUAAGGAUCCGGCGUUGCCAUGAGCUGUGGUGUAGGUCGCAGACGUGGCUCAGAUCCAGUGUUGCUGUGGCUCUGGCAUAGGCCAGUGUCUACGGCUCCGAAUGGACCCCUAGCCUGCGAAUCUCCAUAUGCCGCAGGAGCGUCCCUAGAAAAAGACAAAAAAAAAAAAAGUAAGAAAGAAAAAGGCAGGCUGGGUUCAACUCACUCAUUUAAGGAACCCGACACCAACCAUCAGCAGCUCCCUGCCGUCAGAGGGCUUCCAUUCCAAUGAAGAAUUUCCUUAUGUCAUUUGCACCAUCAUCAUCUUGUGAGUCUACAAAAAUAAUUCUCUAACAGUAUCAGCCGGGUGCUAUUCGGUGCCAGGCUGCCGGCAACGACUUCAGCGGUCCUCUUGAAAAUGCAUCUGUGGAGGGCAACCCCACGAUCCAGAUUUUAAAGGGGAGGCAACAGGCUUGCAGGGGCUGAGGUGACUCAGCUGGGACAGAAGGGAACUGCAAACAGGCUGAGGGAAUGAGAUCCCUCUUGAUCCACAGAUACUGGCCUCUAAAACUUCAGGAGGAAAAUGAGAACUGGGAGAGCGAGGAGUGCCUUAUUACACACAAGGAUCAUUAGGGCAGAGGGUGAGUUACGCCCAGACUCACUCUUGGCCCAAGAUGGGCAGUCUGCUGGUUCCUCCACACAAGAAAAAGAACCCACGAGCCCUGAGCUGAACUCUUCCAGGCAGGCAACACGUGUGCCCAAAGGACCUGCCGAAAGGACAUGACAUGAUCGAUCCCAAUCAUCCUCGCUUCUCCCGCGGCUUCAAAUUAAGUCAUCUUUUUCGAGCGGCAUGACCGUUUUAAUCUUUAAAGAUAGAGGUGGGGGAGGGGGAGGAACUCUUACAUAUUUUACAAAAUGAAAUAAUCACCCGGAGAAAUAGAGAGACACAGGACAGACUUAGCUGCUUCUGAUCAAAACGUACUUCACUAAUUAAUGGCCACUAGUCUCCGAAGAGUCUCCCCUCGACUAG